rnacentral:rRNA from 1 species
AUGGCGCUGAGGGGCGUUUGGCAGCUGCAGAAGCUUGUGGUGAACUACUGCGACUGGGGAGGGAGCAGCAGAGGAAUCAGGGCUUUUAUGGAGUCACAUCUUCCAGCUUUGAAGGAAAAGAAUCCCCAGUUAGAGGUAGUGACACAGCUUGUCCGUGGUCAGCAUCCUAACUUGAAGGGCAUUUACAAAAACCAUAACGAGAGAGUGGUUUGUGUCAGAAAUCUAGCACCCGAGGACAUCAUGUUGCAAGCUAGUAGGCUAAGGUGUUCUCUGGGCAGGAAAGUGGUGAAGCUGAGAACCAGACACGUUACGAAACGGCCAAGUGUCCAGGGGACAUGGACGACGGAACUGAAGAUGUGA